rnacentral:misc_RNA from 1 species
AUCACCGCGGUUAGCGGCAACAGGCGCAGAUACACCUUCCGCAUUGUCGACCGUUCGACCACAUCCUUCAUUGUGUUCCCUCCUGGCAUUCGCCAUGCACUGAGCUGGAACCGGCCAUCAUCCUUGUCCCGUGGCCAUUCCCGCUUUCGGAUACUCUGGCUCGCUACUCCGAUGAAGAACGCAG